rnacentral:rRNA from 1 species
CCUACGGGGGGCAGCAGUGGGGAAUAUUGGACAAUGGGCGAAAGCCUGAUCCAGCCAUGCCGCGUGUGUGAAGAAGGCCUUCGGGUUGUAAAGCACUUUCAGUGGGGAAGAAAGCCUUGGGGCUAAUACCCUCGAGGAAGGACAUCACCCACAGAAGAAGCACCGGCUAACUCCGUGCCAGCAGCCGCGGUAAUACGGAGGGUGCGAGCGUUAAUCGGAAUUACUGGGCGUAAAGCGCGCGUAGGCGGUCUGAUAAGCCGGUUGUGAAAGCCCCGGGCUCAACCUGGGAACGGCAUCCGGAACUGUCAGGCUAGAGUGCAGGAGAGGAGGGUAGAAUUCCCGGGGUAGCGGUGAAAUGCGUAGAGAACGGGAGGAAUACCAGUGGCGAAGGCGGCCUUCUGGACUGACACUGACGCUGAGGUGCGGAAGCGUGGGUAGCAAACAGGAUUAGAUACCCGAGUAGUC